GAAGGUAUAGCUCAAUGGUAGAGUGUGUGCUUAGUAUGCACAAGGUCCUAGGUUCAAUCCCCAGGACCUCUG
rnacentral:tRNA from 1 species